CAUAUACUCCCUCCGUCCGAAAAUACUUGUCAUCAAAAUGGAUAAAAGAGGAUGUAUCUAGAACUAAAAUACGUCUAGAUACAUCUCCGUUUAUCCAUUUUGAUGACAAGUAUUUCCGGACGGAGGGAGUACAUA
rnacentral:pre_miRNA from 1 species